GUUUCUUCCAUGUACAUUCGCUAUGAUGUAGAUAGCAACUCGGAUGGUUUCAGUAAAUUAUGAUUGUAGUCUCCCUUGCUUUGAUAAAUGUAUUAAUUCACUAAUAUAUUCUCCUUAACCUGCUAUACCAGUUAUUGCCCUGGAGCAUAACAUCAAUUAAUAAGUGUGCAGAAAUCCAGACAGUCCUGUCCUAAGCUUCAUAGCUUGGCUCUAAUAAUAUGCAUUUGGAAUUAAGUGGUCAGAGUUGGGAAAUGUCUCCACCCUCAACAGAAAGGUCAAACUCAUCACCAACCUGUUCUUUGAAUGGGGCUUAAGGAUUGUUUCACAGCAGGUGAAGGAAGAUCAGAAGUAAAGAAACUGGAAUUCACUAGCAACCAAGCAACAAUUACAGCCAUCUCAAAUCACACUUGUUCUCUGCUGAAACCCUUCACACCCAACCAUUCCUUGUUUCAGAAGCUAAAGAAGACCAGGCUUGACUAGUACCUGGAUGAGAGCAGAUGUAUGAACUCUAUUUGAAACCAUCAAGGAUCUCCAAGUGGAAAAAUCCAGCUUGAAACCUCUGAGAGAUGAUGCCAAUAAGGGCUGUCUACAGGACAGAUCGAAAGUGGCAACUGCGGCAGGCCCAGUUGCUACUUUUAUGCCUUGGCUCCUUGCAUAGACAACAUGGACUAAAUGGACUAAUGGUCUAAUGAAAAAAAUGAGAAUAUCCAAUAAAAUGUGAAGGAAAAAAAGGAAUCAAGGCCAUGAGGGUGAUUUUCCAGUUGCUUUCCCCUGAAGAAGGCCACACAAAUAUUGAUUGGCUGUAAUACGUUGAGUUAAUUUGCAUAAUAAAACUUCACUGCAUGUCAUGAAUUUUCACUCCCUUAUAUUGCUCUUUUGAAAACCUGGCAACACUAGCUGUAUGGCAUAGGCUUGGGCAACUACACCACUUAUGAUGCCCAAUCUCUGCCUCUGUAUCCUCCCAGCGGAAUGCACCAGGGGCCUUUACACAUUACACGGUUAAUAGCACUAUGUUUUCACUCUAAUUUGCAUUGUAACCAAUGGCUUCCCGGGAUUU
rnacentral:lncRNA from 1 species